rnacentral:rRNA from 1 species
UACAGAGGGGGCAAGCGUUGUUCGGAAUUACUGGGCGUAAAGGGCGCGUAGGCGGCCUGGCAAGUGGAAGGUGAAAUCCCUCGGCUUAACCGAGGAACUGCCCUCCAAACUGCUUGGCUUGAGACCGGGAGAGGUGAGUGGAAUUCCCAGUGUAGCGGUGAAAUGCGUAGAUAUUGGGAGGAACACCAGUGGCGAAGGCGGCUCACUGGACCGGUACUGACGCUGAGGCGCGAAAGCGUGGGGAGCAACAGGG